GCAGUAGUAGCUCAGAGUUAGAGCGCCAGCCUUGUAAGUUGGUGGCCGAAGGUUAAACCCCUUCCUGCUGCC
rnacentral:tRNA from 1 species